rnacentral:rRNA from 1 species
GACGAACGCUGGCGGCGUGCUUAACACAUGCAAGUCGAACGGAAAGGCCCUGCUUUUGUGGGGUGCUCGAGUGGCGAACGGGUGAGUAACACGUGAGUAACCUGCCCUUGACUUUGGGAUAACUUCAGGAAACUGGGGCUAAUACCGGAUAGGAGCUCCUGCUGCAUGGUGGGGGUUGGAAAGUUUCGGCGGUUGGGGAUGGACUCGCGGCUUAUCAGCUUGUUGGUGGGGUAGUGGCUUACCAAGGCUUUGACGGGUAGCCGGCCUGAGAGGGUGACCGGCCACAUUGGGACUGAGAUGCGGGCCAGACUCCUACGGGAGGCAGCAGUGGGGAAUAUUGCACGAUGGGCGGAAGCCUGAUGCAGCAACGCCGCGUGCGGGAUGACGGCCUUCGGGUUGUAAACCGCUUUCGCCUGUGACGAAGCGUGAGUGACGGUAAUGGGUAAAGAAGCACCGGCUAACUACGUG